UUGAGGCUAUACCUUUCAAUAUGCGCAAACUGUGACUGAGCUCCUUUAAGUUUUGAUUGAAAAGAUGUAUCAAGGGGAUAAUGAGAAGAAUGUGCUGCCGGUAAUUACUGGUAUAUCUGCAAAUGGUUAGACAUUCAAGUCUUCUCGGAUAAGGGCUAUAAAUUGUAGGUGCCGUCUCCUGUGUCUUCAGUGUUACGUGGUUAGCAGGGGACAUUAAAGAACCCACACACCUAUGGAAAACCGUAGGGCACAUAGUUCUUGGUGUUGUGGUCUGGCCUUGUCUCAAAAUUGUCAUGCUAUCAAGCACUCAAGACAGCAUUUUGACCUUAAAUUUCAUCAAAAAUACUUCAUUACCUGUCAUAUUUGCAGCUCUCUUCCCGGUGUUUGGAGAUGUGGUCAAACACGGUCUUUCAUGUUUGAUAUUUAACUUAACUGUAGGUGUUAUAUAAUUGAUCAUCUCCCCGAGGUAAGGCCUCUCUAGUCAAUAGUGUUUGUCUUUUAUCAAGAUCUUUUAUCUUGAUUGUCAAUGUGGCUUGCUUUGUAAGAGACUUGGUAAGGCUGAUGAAACAUAGAGUGAUCUUACUAGCCUGUCUAAAGCUGUUGUGUGAAUAGAAAUAAUUUCUGAGCCUGUCAGACACAGUAGAGAUAUAAAUAUCUUAUUAACCUCUUCUUCUCAGUCCGUACUGUAGGUUACAGAUCCUUGUUUUUUCCUCUUUGAUUUAUAUUAUGGCCUGCAAGCUUUGUGCUUAGGCCUUAAAUUGAAGGGGAAAAGCUUGGUUUGUACCUUACAGUACAGACCUCAAACUUGGUUUACUUAGUUAGAGGUAUAUAACAAGCUUAUAAAUUGUAACUGUGAGAGCUAAGACAUCCCUGGGCUUAGAUUUAUUAUUUAUUGUCCACAAUUUUAUCUACAAGCUUCUCAGUAUGCCACAUGCAUAAGGAAAGUAUAAUUAUAAUACUCGUCAAGGUGCUUUUCUAACCUUGACUGACAUGAAGAAGGAAUAUUGUACAGAAGAGGAUAAUAAAAUUAAUUAUUAUUUGGCAACUUCAAAUGGAAUUCAGGCAUUAUGUGUAUGACACAUUUAAUCCAGUGCAGUAUAAUUCAGUGUAAUAUAAGUUGAUUGUAAUUUGUUUUUCAAGGUACUAAGUACUACAAUGUAGUUAGCAAAUUAUACAUUGAAUUACUUUAAAAAUGGAACUGUUCUUAAAAUAUCAGAGUCAAAGGUAAUUUAAAUAGCUGUUUGCCUCUGUUUUACAAUAAGGUGUAGUGAAAAAGUUUGUACAUAAAGUAUACCAGCAUGUCAUGCAAUGCAUAUGUUGGAGCAUUAACAAGACUCAAGAUUUGAGUCAGCAUUUGCGUGUCGGAUGACUAUUAAAUAUUGUAAAAAUUAAAAUAAAAGGCAAAUAAAUUGGGAUCUAUCAAGUA